UACGAAGGUCCCAAGCGUUAUCCGGAUUUAUUGGGUUUAAAGGGUGCGUAGGCGGGCUAUUAAGUCAGUGGUGAAAGCCCCAAGCUUAACUUGGGAACUGCCAUUGAUACUGAUGGUCUUGAGUACAUUUGAGGUGGGCGGAAUGUGUCAUGUAGCGGUGAAAUGCUUAGAUAUGACACGGAACACCGAUGCGAAGGCAGCUCACUAAACUGUAACUGACGCUGAGGCACGAAAGCGUGGGGAGCAAACAGG
rnacentral:rRNA from 1 species